GUGGGAGGGAAGGAGAGAGAGGGAACAGUCAGAGGUGGGAGGGAAGGAGAGAGAGAACAGUCAGAGGUGGGAGGGAAGGAGAGAGAGGGAACAGUAAGAGGUGGGAGGGAAGGAGAGAGAGGGAACAGUCAGAGGUGGGAGGGAAGGAGAGAGAGAACAGUCGGAGGUGGGAGGGAAGGAGAGAGAGGGAACAGUCAGAGGUGGGAGGGAAGGAGAGAGAGAACAGUCGGAGGUGGGAGGGAAGGAGAGAGAGGGAACAGUCAGAGGUGGGAGGGAAGGAGAGAGAGAACAGUCGGAGGUGGGAGGGAAGGAGAGAGAGGGAACAGUCAGAGGUGGGAGGGAAGGAGAGAGAGGGAACAGUCAGAGGUGGGAGGGAAGGAGAGAGAGAACAGUC